GUGGCACAAGAGCAAGUAGCAGAGUCUCGCCUUCCAAACCUGCUCCACAACUGCUGUGUCUCUCAUCAGGUUCCCUCCGCGAAGUGUUUUACUCUCAUUCUUGAUGAUUCCAUCCAGCAAUGGCGGUGACACUGUUCAAUCCAGGACAAAUAAUGACAACAAUGAUCAUCUGGUUAUCCGAAUUGCUGAUUAUCUAAAGAAUGCUGAACGUUACUUGUGGUACAAAGGUGACAUAAUGAAUGCAAAUAAUUUAAUUGCGCGAUACAUAAUGAACAAAAGUGAAUUGCAACCAGGUCUAGCACACAGAAGUCAUCUGCAAAUACUGAAGGAUGGUUCACUGUGUAUCUUGAAUGUCGGGAAGAAGGACAUAGGACAUUACACUGUAAUACCCGUAAAGAAUAAGAAACAACUGGAAAAAGCAUCUGUACAUCUCUUCGUCCUAGGUAAAGAGAGUGCCAGCUCUGCCCAGGAAAAGAUGUAUGCACUAUACCCCAAUGAAUCUCUGAUCCUCAGGUGCCUGACAUAUGAAGCUGGCUCCGUUGUCCGCUGGUUUUACAAUGAUCGCAGACUGCAACUCCAUGACAGGAGGGUCCUGAAACAUAAUAUCCUCACCAUAAGUAUGAUCAACAAGGCUGAUGCUGGGAAAUAUCACUGCAAGUUAGUCAAAAGAUUCAGAGCUGUGACAAGUGAACGCCUCUUGCUAUACGUGCUCUGACUGACUCUACUUCAUAUGAGUCAUUAAAGUGUAAAUCAAAAUUUUUCAGCAGAUAAGCUGUUUCCUAACCUUUUUGAAAAUUCAGUGAUGGGAUGGAAAGUUCUAGAAGGGUUGCAUUGAGUCAAUAAAGCACAAAU